rnacentral:rRNA from 1 species
CCUACGGGAGGCAGCAGUGAGGAAUAUUGGUCAAUGGACGAGAGUCUGAACCAGCCAAGUAGCGUGAAGGAUGACUGCCCUACGGGUUGUAAACUUCUUUUAUAUGGGAAUAAAAUGUUCCACGUGUGGGAGUUUGUAUGUACCAUAUGAAUAAGGAUCGGCUAACUCCGUGCCAGCAGCCGCGGUAAUACGGAGGAUCCGAGCGUUAUCCGGAUUUAUUGGGUUUAAAGGGAGCGUAGGUGGAUUGUUAAGUCAGUUGUGAAAGUUUGCGGCUCAACCGUAAAAUUGCAGUUGAAACUGGCAGUCUUGAGUACAGUAGAGGUGGGCGGAAUUCGUGGUGUAGCGGUGAAAUGCUUAGAUAUCACGAAGAACUCCGAUUGCGAAGGCAGCUCACUGGACUGCAACUGACACUGAGGCUCGAAAGUGUGGGUAUCAAACAGGAUUAGAUACCCCAGUAGUC